CGUGGGGGAUGACGGCCUUCGGGUUGUAAACCUCUUUCAGCAGGGAAGAAGCGCAAGUGACGGUACCUCGCAGAACGAAGCACCGGCUACUACGGUGG
rnacentral:rRNA from 1 species